GACGACGCUGGCGGCGUGCUUAACACAUGCAAGUCGAACGGUGACGAGGAGCUUGCUCCUCCGAUCAGUGGCGAACGGGUGAGUAACACGUGAGUAACCUGCCCCAGACUCUGGAAUAACAGUUGGAAACAGCUGCUAAUACCGGAUACGAGACGGAGAGGCAUCUCUACCGUCUGGAAAGUUUUUCGGUCUGGGAUGGACUCGCGGCCUAUCAGCUUGUUGGUGAGGUAAUGGCUCACCAAGGCGACGACGGGUAGCCGGCCUGAGAGGGCGACCGGCCACACUGGGACUGAGACACGGCCCAGACUCCUACGGGAGGCAGCAGUGGGGAAUAUUGCACAAUGGGCGAAAGCCUGAUGCAGCAACGCCGCGUGAGGGAUGACGGCCUUCGGGUUGUAAACCUCUUUCAGUAGGGAAGAAGCGAAAGUGACGGUACCUACAGAAGAAGCACCGGCUAACUACGUG
rnacentral:rRNA from 1 species